GGCGCUGUGGCUCAGUGGGUGAAAGCCCUGGCCUGAAGCGCCGGCCUCCCAUAGGGUGCCGGUUCGAGUCCUGGCUGCUCCU
rnacentral:tRNA from 1 species